AGGAGCUCGGAGCUGUCAGCAGUUUGCAGAUGCACAGGCCGCAGGAGAUCUCAUUUCUCUUCCUAAAACGCUCGGCCUUCUCCAAAGCGCCUUCCCACGGCAUGUCCGGCCGUGCCCACAGGUGUGCCUUCUGUGCACGUUCCUGGACGUGCCUGGGCCUCCAGCGGUGUGAGAAGCCAGAUCAGCAUUUUGGCCUCUGGAUGGAGUUCCUCUGCUCUCAAGGGAAUUGUGCUAAACUAAGAUAAGACUGAGCAGCAAAGGAAAUUUCUACUCUAGAAGGCAAGAAGUCAGUUCAAGCAGAUGUGGAUCUGUCAGUCUGUGGGGAAUGUCACCCCUCCAUCCCCAUCCCAGGGCUCCGUGAAACUCAACUAUUUUGUGCCUGGGGAGCCAUGGGGCAUUUUGUCUUGAGCCCAGGCUUAUCUGGACAGACUUUCAGGACUAAGGGCAAAGCUUAGGUGGAGAACCUGCUCCUCGUGCCCUCAUGAUUGAAUCUCAACCAGUCUCUAAAAUAUGAAGGUGUGAGGACUAUAAAUACGCCAAGCUCAUAGAACCAGAGAAUACAACAGGGGUUGCCAAGGGCUGGGGGUCAGAGUCAUGGGAAGAUACUGGUCAAAGGGUAUAAUCUUUCAGUUACAAGAUGAGUAAGUUCUGGGGAUCUAAUGCACACCAGGCUGACUAGAGUUAAAAAUAUGGUAUGUGCACGUGCACUUUGCUGAGAGAGUAGAUCUUAAGUGUUCUCACCACGCACGCCCAUACACAAGGUCACUAGGUGGAGUGAUGGAUGUAUCUGUUACCUUGAUUGUGGUGAUCACGGGCUGCCCCAAAAUGAUGAUUUAAUAUGUACACAUUGUAAAGUGAUCACCACAAUCAAGGUAACAGAUCUUUACAAUGUGUACAUGUUAAAUCAUCAUUUUGGGGCAGCCCGGGUGGCUCAGCGGUUUAGCACCACCUUUGGCCCGGGGCGUGAUCCUGGAGCCCCGGUAUCGAGUCCCACAUCAGGCCCUGCACGGGGCCUGCUUCUCCCUCUGCCUGACAGGUCUAUGACUCUCUCUCUCUCUUUCUCUGUCUCUCUCUGUAUGUCUCUCAUGAAUAAAUAAAUAAAAUCUUAAAAAAAAUAAAUCA
rnacentral:lncRNA from 12 species